rnacentral:rRNA from 1 species
AGUCAUCCAUACGCCAAUCCAUAACGUAUGGAAGGGAACCCGGUGAACUGAAACAUCUAAGUAGCCGGAGGAAAAGAAAGAAAACUCGAUUCCCAGAGUAGCGGCGAGCGAAAUGGGAGGAGCCUAAACCAGCGUGCGUGCAUGCUGGGGUUAUGGACUGCAGAAGUUACCAGAAACGAUAGUGGAAUGGUUUUGGGAAAGCCAGCCAGAGAGGGUGAAAGCCCCGUACACAAAAUCCGGACCAGGACGGCAGGAUCCAGAGUACCACGAGACACGUGGAACCUUGUGGGAAGUCGGGGGGACCACCCCCCAAGGCUAAAUACUCCUUAGUGACCGAUAGCGCAUAGUACUGUGAAGGAAAGGUGAAAAGGACCCCGGGAGGGGAGUGAAAGAGAACCUGAAACCCUGUGUUUACAAGCUGUGGGAGCACCUUAUGAGUGCGACCGCGUACUUUUUGUAGAACGGUCCGGCGAGUUACGCUGGCUGGCAAGGUUAAACGGUAGAGCCGUGGAGCCGAAGGGAAACCAAGUCUUAAGAGGGCGAUGAAGUCAGUCAGAGUAGACCCGAAACCGGGUGAUCUAUCCAUGUCCAGGUUGAAGUUGCCGUAAAAGGCAAUGGAGGACCGAACCCACAUCCGUUGAAAAGGGUGGGGAUGAGGUGUGGAUAGGGGAGAAAUUCCAAUCGAACCCGGAGAUAGCUGGUUCUCCUCGAAAUAGCUUUAGGGCUAGCCUCGAUAGAGUCUUGCGGAGGUAGAGCACUGAAUUUCCUAGGGGGCGUCAAAGCUUACCGAAGAAUAUCAAACUCCGAAUGCCGUGUAGAUGCUUAUCGGGAGUCAGACUAUACGAGAUAAGUUGGAUAGUCAAAAGGGAAAGAGCCCAGACCUCCAGCUAAGGUCCCAAAGUACGUGUUAAGUGGAAAAGGAUGUGGGAUUUCGAAGACAACCAGGAUGUUGGCUCAGAAGCAGCCAUACAUUCAAAGAGUGCGUAAUAGCUCACUGGUCGAGAGGUCCUGCGCCGAAAAUGUCCGGGGCUGAAACACGACACCGAAGCUGAGGAAUGUCUGAAGACAUUGGUAGAGGAGCAUUGGAUACGCAACGAAGCAGUACCGGAAGGAGCUGUGGAGUGUAUCGAAGAGAGAAUGCCGGAAUGAGUAGCGAGAGAGAGGUGGGAAUCCUCUCGGCCGAAUAUCUAAGGUUUCCAGGGUAAAGCUGAUCUGCCCUGGGUAAGUCGGGGCCUAAGGCGAGGACGAGAGUCGUAGCCGAUGGACAACAGGUUGAGAUUCCUGUACUGCAGUAAGACAGAACUGUGGGGACACGUGUGGAGAGCAUAGGCGCGGAAUGGAAAGCCGCGUGCAAGCGAGGUAGGAGUCCUGUAGGAAAAACCGCAGGGCAAUCCGAAGGCGUGAUGCGGACCGAAAUCUAGUAGGGAAGUAUGUGAGCCAUGCGUCAAGAAAAGCCGCUAUUGUUCUUAUUGUACCCGUACCGUAAACCGACACAGGUGGAUGAGGAGAGAAUCCUAAGGCCGACGGAAGAAGCAUUGUUAAGGAACUCGGCAAAAUGACCCCGUAACUUCGGGAGAAGGGGUGCCACAGAAAUGUGGCCGCAGAGAAUAGGCUCAAGCAACUGUUUAGCAAAAACACAGGUCUAUGCAAAACCGAAAGGUGAGGUAUAUGGGCUGACGCCUGCCCGGUGCUGGAAGGUUAAGAGGAGAGGUUAGCGCAAGCGAAGCUUUGAAUUGAAGCCCCAGUAAACGGCGGCCGUAACAAUAACGGUCCUAAGGUAGCGAAAUUCCUUGUCGGGUAAGUUCCGACCCGCACGAAAGGCGUAAUGAUUUGAGCGCUGUCUCGACAAUGCAUCCGGUGAAAUUGAAGUACCAGUGAAGAUGCUGGUUACCUGCGCCAGGACGGAAAGACCCCAUGGAGCUUUACUCCAGCUUGAUACUGGGAUUCGGUAUUGCAUGUACAGGAUAGGUGGGAGGCUGAGAAUCGGUAACGCCAGUUGCCGAGGAGCCGUUGUUGGGAUACCACCCUUGCAGUACUGGGUUUCUAACCAGCAGCCGUGACCCGGCUGGGGGACAAUGUCAGGUGGGGAGUUUGACUGGGGCGGUCGCCUCCGAAAGGGUAUCGGAGGCGCUCAAAGGUUCCCUCAGAAUGGUUGGAAACCAUU